CCCUUAGAUGUCCUGGGCUGCACGCGCGCUACACUGAUGUGUCCAGUAAGCACCUAACCUCUUCCGAAAGGAACGGGUAACCUUUGCAAAGCACAUCGUGAUGGGUAUAGAUUAUUGCAAUUAUUAGUCUUGAACGAGGAAUUCCUAGUAAGCACAAGUCAUCAGCUUGUGUUGAUUACGUCCCUGCCCUUUGUACACACCGCCCGUCGCUCCUACCGAUUGAAUGUUCCGGUGAGCUCUUCGGACUGCGCGGUCUGCAGUUUCUGCGUUCCGUGCGGAAAGUUGCGCAAACCUUAACAUUUAGAGGAAGGAGAAGUCGUAACA
rnacentral:rRNA from 1 species